rnacentral:piRNA from 1 species
UUCAUCCACGAUUCAGAGCUUGGAUAGGU